ensembl:lncRNA
GCUGCAAUGAAUGGAAUCAGAUGUCGACAGUGAGCCAGUUUCCUUUUUGUUCUAAGGAAGACUGCGGGAAGUAAGCAGCAUCCUCUCUGUCUUCAUACAUGUUUCAUUUGCUCAACGGUUUUAUUCCGAGCUGUCGCUCUAAAGGAGGUAUUGUAAUCUCGUCCCGAAUGAAAUGUCAACAUAUCCAUAACAAUAACCCAGCAAGUCGCCAUCACCUACUGCAAACACAGCACGCCCCCGCGUGACGUCCAGUUGACACAACUCAUUGACGGCUCCUCAAAAUAAUGUGACAGCGGCUCCUGGCUCCUCUGUUUGCUCUCUGAUCAGCCUCAUUCAACAACCAGCGCCAUGCAACAGAUGGUCGGCGCCUGUUUGUGUACAUACGGCACAUAUUUAGGUCAGGUACGCGCCGCGGCCGCUGGUUGCCAUGGGAACUGGGCAUCAAACAUGACAGCGAUAUCUCGGUGAGAAGUUUCCUCCUCUCACACCUCUCGUUCCCCCUCAGCUUGCUACCCGUACGGAUUGUGUGGGAACAUUCACCUGGGGGGGGGGGUUAUUGUCGUCGAAACGGGCUGAGCGUGCACGGCUUCGCUCUGCUGGUGAUGGAGACGAAGCUUCGCUUUGGUCAAUA